GAAGAGCUGCCACAUGCUGUGAGCACCCAGACAUUGAGUGGCGCUGGUCUCCUCAAGAUGUUCAACAAAGCUACCGACGCAGUCAGCAAAAUGACCAUUAAGAUGAAUGAAUCAGACAUUUGGUUUGAGGAGAAGCCCCAGGAGGUAGAGUGUGAGGAGCAGCGCUUACGGAAACUGCAUGCUGUUGUAGAAACUCUAGUCAACCAUAGGAAAGAGCUAGCACUGAACACAGCCCAGUUUGCAAAGAGUCUAGCCAUGCUUGGGAGCUCUGAGGACAACACGGCAUUGUCACGGGCACUCUCCCAGCUGGCUGAGGUAGAAGAAAAAAAUGAGCAGCUCCACCAGGAACAGGCCAACAAUGACUCUUUCCUCCUUGCCGAGCUCCUGAGUGACUACAUUCGCCUCCUGGCCAUAGUUCGAGCUGCCUUCGACCAGCGCAUGAAGACAUGGCAGCGCUGGCAGGAUGCUCAAGCCACGCUGCAGAAGAAGCGGGAGGCUGAGGCUCGGCUGCUGUGGGCCAACAAGCUGCAGCAGGCCAAGGAUGAGAUUCUAGAGUGGGAGUCUCGGGUAACUCAGUAUGAAAGGGACUUUGAAAGGAUUUCAACAGUGGUCCGAAAAGAAGUGAUACAGGUUGAGAAAGAGAAAUCCAAGGACUUCAAAAACCACGUGAUCAAGUACCUUGAGACACUCCUAUAUUCACAGCAACAGCUGGCAAAGUACUGGGAAGCCUUCCUUCCUGAGGCAAAGGCCAUCUCCUAAUGGACCAAGGAUACCAGAGCCCACCUGCGUGACGCUGCCUUUUUAUACACUGCCCUCCUCCACCUUGAUGGACCCAGUGAUGCAUCCUGCUAGGCUGGACUUAACCCCUUCCUCCCCACCCCACAACCAACUGUCCCCAGUUACUCUAACCGUUACUUCAUUUAGCUCCAUAUAUAUUUUCUUACCUAAGAGAAUAGUUUCCUGCUUUAAGCAAAAGACCUACAAUAGGUGGUGGAAUUAUGGGAUAGGGGUGGAGUAUUGAUAUAAAUAUAUAAAUACAAAUGUAUAUUUUUCAGGAUGUGGCGUAGGAACUGGGAAUAACGUUUUCUGUUACUCCUGAUGGUGCCAUGAAAAGAUUAUGUAAUAAAAUAUUAAAAAA